CUAGAUGAACAAUAAGAGAUGCAAAAAACGUGAACAACGGGCCACAUUUCAGGUCCACUAACCAUUCAAUUUCACUUUCAUCCUAAACCCACCAUUUUUACUAAUUUCACUUUGACCUAAUUAUACCCCAUUCUAACCCAAACCUCCUUUUCACCGCAGCCAGCCGUCCGUCACCUAUCCCAACAUGUAGUCUCCCUUGCCGGCAAGAAAGCUCCCAAGUACCGCCGUCUGCCGCCAUCACCAACCCCAAGUGCAGAGGACGAAGCUGGACUGCGUGCAGCGACACAAUAGAGGUGAGGGGCAAAGACAGUUGCCACGGCGCGAUGGAAGAUGAAGCUGGACUGCCUGCAGCGGUGCGAUAAAAGUGCGACGAAGUUGGGCUGCGUGCGGUGGUUGGGAAGGUGCGCCGAAGCACGGAUGCAUGCGGUGGUUUCGGAGGCAUGAGGAACCCAAAACGUAUGCGAUGGUUCGCGAGAGACGCUGGGGAUUGUUGGGAGUAGGGAUGGGGCGCAG